UUACGGGAGGCAGCAGUGGGGAAUCUUGCACAAUGGGGGAAACCCUGAUGCAGCGACGCCGCGUGAGCGAUGAAGCCCUUCGGGGCGUAAAGCUCUUUCGGCAGGGACGAUAAUGACGGUACCUGCAGAAGCAGCUGCGGCUAACUACGUGCCAGCAGCCGCGGUAAUACGUAGGCAGCGAGCGUUGUUCGGAGUUACUGGGCGUAAAGGGUGUGUAGGCGGUCGUUUAAGUUUGGUGUGAAAUCUCCCGGCUCAACUGGGAGGGUGCGCCGAAUACUGAGCGGCUAGAGUGCGGGAGAGGAGAGUGGAAUUCCUGGUGUAGCGGUGAAAUGCGUAGAUAUCAGGAGGAACACCGGCGGUGUAAACGGCUCUCUGGACCGCAACUGACGCUGAGACACGAAAGCGUGGGUAGCAAACAGGAUUAGAUACCCCGGUAGC
rnacentral:rRNA from 1 species